CCCUUAGAUGUUCUGGGCUGCACGCGCGCUACACUGAUGCGUUCAACGAGUGUAUCUCCUUACCCGGUAGGGUUGGGUAAUCUUCUGAACACGCAUCGUGAUGGGGAUAGAUUAUUGCAAUUAUUAAUCUUCAACGAGGAAUUCCUAGUAAUGGUGAAUCAUCAGUUCAUCGUGAUUACGUCCCUGCCCUUUGUACACACCGCCCGUCGCUCCUACCGAUUGAGCAAACCGGUGAAUAGUUCGGACCGUCGGCCUUCUCGGUUUACCGCGUUGGCAGUACGGAAAGUCCAGUGAACCUUUUUGCUUAGAGGAAGGAGAAGUCGUAACA
rnacentral:rRNA from 1 species